rnacentral:rRNA from 1 species
UACAGAGGUCCCAAGCGUUGUUCGGAUUCAUUGGGCGUAAAGGGUGUGUAGGUGGCGCCGUAAGUCAGGUGUGAAAUUUCGGAGCUUAACUCCGAAACUGCAUUUGAUACUGCGGUGCUUGAGGACUGGAGAGGAGACUGGAAUUUACGGUGUAGCAGUGAAAUGCGUAGAUAUCGUAAGGAAGACCAGUGGCGAAGGCGAGUCUCUGGACAGUUACUGACGCUGAGGCACGAAGGCCAGGGGAGCAAACGGG